rnacentral:lncRNA from 1 species
CAAAUCCAGUUCAGACCGGGCGCAAUUCAUGUGCUCAGCCGCCGCAUGUGGUGAGUGACAGAGAACAUCCUGCACGUGUGUGCACUUUUUACUGCCUUUUUCUUGACCACAGAUUCUACCUCCUGUUUCUCUGUGUAUGCAGUGAUUAUUUGCUGAGUAUUACACAUUGUAGGUAACAUGUUGAGCACACUCAGGAUCCCUAACCUUCCUCUGAAGCUUUCCAGGUCUUGUUUUAGCAGGUAGCACAGGCACUGCUGGGUCAUCGUGACAUGGGCAGGCUUGGAUUGAUUCGCUGCUGGUGUGGAUCUGUGGAGAACUCCCAUCCUGCACCCACUCCGAUCUCCCCCGAUCUCCCCCUCCUGGACGUGGGUGAUAUGCUCUGCCCACACCUGAGCUCUCUCCAGUCUCCGCCUCCUGGACAUGGUAGGGUGGCCAAGCUCAGCUCACACCUGAGCUCUCUCCGAGCUCCGCCUUCUGGACUCGGUAGAGUGGCCAUGCUCCACCCACACCUGCGCUCUCUCCGAGCUCCGCCUUCUGGACGUGGUAGGAUGGCCAUGCUCCGCCCACACCUGAGCUCUCGGUGCCACGAUCUGCAGGUGUACUCCAGAGGACAAGUGUACUGUGGAAACUAUGAUCCAGGUCAGCAGCCAGUCAUUUCAUAGAAGAUAAACUUCAAGAACAUUCUCUGAAGGGCAGUGAAACUGAGUAAGAUCUAACCACUGUUACCAGCAACCAAGAAAAAUAGGUAAGAAAAUGCAACUAAGAUUUGGAUCAAGUAACUAUGGUAAAAAACAUGCAAACUAUCGCUAAGCACAAAAUAGGCUGGGAGUAAAAACAUAAACAUAAAAAAUAUUUAUGAUAU